rnacentral:rRNA from 1 species
UACAGAGGCCUCGAGCGUUAGGCGGAAUCACUGGGCUUAAAGCGUGUGUAGGCGGACUUCUAAGUACCUUGUGAAAUCCCACGGCUCACCCGUGGAACUGCUCGGUAUACUGGUCGGUCUUGAGCCUUCUAGGGGCGAAGUUGGAACAAAUGGUGGAGCGGUGAAAUGGCGUAGAUAUCAUUGGAACGCCAAUGGUGAAAACAACUCGCUGGGGAAGUGCUGACGCUGGAGAACGCGAAAGCGUGGGGAGCGAACAGGA